UUCCGCCGCGGCAGGGAGUCGCUGAGCGGCGGAGCCCGAGCCCCCACCUCGUGCCGCUUCUGCCUCCCCAGCCCAGCCACAGCGCGGCCCCGGAGUCAGCGCCUCCAAGCAGCACCGCACCGGGGAGCCGCUUGCGCCGCCCCAGACACCCAAGCUCCCCUGUCCUCGCAGCGCUGCAAAGCAGCCGCAUCCAGCCGCUGCAUCCGGUCAGGUUUUCCUACAUUUUUGGCAGCAGUCACCCAGAAGCCACGCAAUGAACCCGUUCUCCUGGCUGGACAACACCAAAAAACACGGAUCCAGCACCAGGAGCCGUCCGAUUAUUGACAAAGGGCGGGGGGGGCAACCUCAGAGCGUACAAUCUAAAUAGGAAACAAAUGUGGCCACUCCUAUUUCAGUGGGAAUAUCUGGAUCUUGAUGCAUCCUGGCCCAGUAGCUCUGGAAAAAGACUUAUCUGUGAUUUGGAUCUUGCCAUUUUUUAAAGCCCAAUGCCCCAACUCUGUUGUUACAGCACCUACUACGCCACAACACCCAGCCUCUGUUGCAAACUGAUAGAGCAGCAUUGUAAAAAAUAGUUAUCCGGCAGCUGAAUCGAACCAUUUUUGGGUUUUUUUAAUCCUCAUCCCCAAAAUUUUACCAGCUACAUGGCAGCUAUUCCAAUUACACUACAAUAAUCCAGAUCCCCACACAUCCCUCCUCACAAGGAGCGCAAAAGCAGGUGUCCUGCACUUGUCUACUGUUAUUAGCCCCAACCCUGGCUCCCUUUGCCAUCCUGUUUGUACUUAGGUAAAAACCUAUUGCCAUUCCUACUUAGCCAUUACAACCCAGGUUCUGAGUACUGAGACAUCCUAGUGCAAGAGCAACUCAAAAGCACACAUUGUGUGUUUUUGCAGUGGUACUGCACCAGUUUGCAAAAUAAUACAGGGAAGCAAAAGGGAGGGUCCAGGUUUUCCUACUGACAUAGAAGAAGCUACACUUGUUUGAUUGUUUUAUUUAGAUUUCUAUUUGAGUGAUCGCUACUAACAAUAGGCUCCAUUUGCUAUAGUCAGGUUUUUCAGUGCUGGGACGCACAGGGAUCCAGAUUAUUUUGGUGGAGUAGGGGCAGCUGCUAUUCUCUAUUCAUGCCAUGGAAUUUGUGAGGCAGAGGCAAGGAUCAGAUAGAUCCAGAUGUCAGUUUUUUGUGGUGAAGUUGUAUGGGCGUUCCGGUUUUUUUUUGGUGCAGUGGGAUUGACUAAAUAUUGCCUCUGGUUGCAAAGGAAUUUGGGAACUGGGGGCCAAAAAUUGGCAAUCUCCAGGUAGUGGAGUAUUGUUAUGCCAGUUUGCAGCAGGGCCUACAUUUUGGGGUAUAUUAGGUGCUACUACACUUUUUCUUAUUUAUGUAAUAAAUGUUUGUUGGGCUUCCAUUCAAAUAGCCAUCUGCAGCUUAUGGUUUCUUCUAUCUGCUCCUUAGGACCCUGCUCUUGGAACAAAUACAUGGCUGUAUAAAAUUGUCAGCUAAAACACUACAAUGGAGAAUAGAACUCAAGAUCUUCAGAUCCCAAAACACUAAGUGGAAAGGAAUUCCCUAGUCACCUUUCUAUCCAGUUUCUUCAACUGGAGUUGAAGGAGUGAAAGAGUCAUCUGAUCAGAUACUGGGCUGAAAAAGAACAUCACACAGCAGGAGGGAAGUAGAGGAAAGUGAAAGCUCUUUCCAGGUUGCAUCAUUUGUCUCACUGAAGAAAUUAACAAGAUCCUCAACAGAGAGAAUGAGGAAGCAUGUGAAAGAUUUUGAGGGGAUAUGCUAAGGAGGAGAAGUGGUACUGGCCACUCCUCCCUGACUCAAACAGGUUGAAGAAGUCAGAGAUGCAGUGCUGAACGAAAAGGAAAAGCUGCAGUGAAAGAACCUUGGGUUUUAUCUAAAGGUGUUUAGCAGCAGGAAAGAAAAAAAAAAAAGAGGAAAAGAAUGUAAGUUGCCAGCCAAUGUUGGGGAAACAAAUAGUUUGCUAAAGAGAGAGGGGGGAGCUGAAGGAGGACAUCGACCUCUUGGAGGUUAGUGAGGGAAGGAGGGGCAGCAAGAAGGCGACGAUGUUAAUGCACAUGGUGGGAAGUACUGGGUCAGUGAACAGUAUUAAAGGAAAUAAUGUGAUCAGCGAGAUGGCCUCUUCAUAAUAAUUACUCUUGAGAAAUGUCUUUCACUGCUGCAAAUGUAAAACUAACUCUGUUUCUGCAGUUAGUUAUCUUCUUCUAAUGAGAAGUACUUCUGAUGUUGGAACAGAACUUGUCAUUCUUGUGCGACUCUGUUCCAUGGAUGCAAUGCCAGUAAUUAGACUAUAAUUGUAUUAUCAAAUAUAUAGCAGUGCAGUCAGGCCCAGACCCUAAAGAAUAUUUAGGCAGCUAGUUCCCUUUGAAGUCAGUGGUGUUAGGCCCCUAAAUACAUUUGCAGAUCUGGGUCUUAGUUCCGACACUAAUAAUAUAGCUGUGAAACCUCAGAGAGAAAAACAGCAGCCUGUCUUGAGAAAAUGAGUCAAAAAUGACCCUCUGGAAAAUAUGGGGUAAGCUCAGUGACUAUCCAGUCUCUAGCAUGUUGCAGCUCAUCCCCCAUUUCUUUAUCUGUAAAUGUAGUGAAUUUUUAAGCAAGCUCCAUUUGGGCAGAAUAAGGAAGGGCAGUACACAGGAAGCUUUGGUCAGGGGCAGCUGGCCUUUAGUGGCUGUAUUCAGGAGUGAUAGGUUCUAGGUGGCUUAGGUCCAGGCUGGCAGCUUUCAGGUAAUAUUUAGCAAAAUUUUGCAGCAUAUGAUAUUUACGUGCUGUGUUCAUAAGCUUUUCAGAAGGAACUUUGAAGCCCAAGAGAUGGAAGCUUCUUCAUUUAAACGUUUUCCUUCUAAAACCACAGAAAAUAAAAUGCAAAAAUCUACAUUAAGGUUGCACAGCUAGGCCCUAAUUCAGAAAAGCAGUUAAGCACAUGCUUGACUUUAAACACAUGAGUAAUCGCAUUCAUGUUCAGCAGAGCAUCUGCUUCACUUUAAGCAUUGCAGUCAAUUGGACUUUACACCCCAGUUCAGCAAAAUAUGUAAGCACAUGAUGAAUUCCAUCCAUAUGCAGUAAAACACUUAGGGAUUGGUCAGCAAAUUAAGCUACAUUAUGUAGAUCAGAAAAUGCUGGGAUAAAGUGAGAACUGCCAAAAGUCAAGCUGAGUUAGAAUUGCGAAGCCAAUUAAAACCAAUAGUGAAAGGUUCUUUAGUUACAUAAAUAAAAAGAGAACAAGAAAAGAAGUGGAGCUGCUGUGCAGUCAGUGUGGGGGAGAAAUUAAAAAUUAUGUAGGUAUGGCCCAAAAACUAAAUGCAAACUUUGCCUCAGGGUUUCAAUAAGGAUGAUAAUUUAUAACAUGGAUGGAAAAGGCAGGAUAGCUAAUGGGAAAGUGUAUAUAGAAAUGAAAAUUACCACAACUAAGGUGGAAGCCACAUGCAAAGAGAUGAAUGUGCUCUAACCAGGGGGACCAUCACAGGAUACUUAAAGAACGGGCAAAUGAAAUUGCAAGUCUGGUAACAAGGAUUCUUAAUAAAUCUAUCAAAUCAGGGGUGAUAUUGUAUGACUAGAGAAUAGCUAAUAUUGUACCUACAGGGAAACCUUCCUAACUGUAGGAACAGUUGGACAAUGUAAAAAGCUGCCUAGGGAAGCUCUGUCAUUGAAGGUUUUCAAAAAGAGGCUGGAUAGCCAUCUGUGUAGGAUGGUUUAGACUCAACAAAUCCUGCAUCUUGGCAGGAGGUUAGACUAGAAGACCCUUGCAGUCCCUUCUAACCCUGUGAGUCUAUGAUUUAAGAAAAAGAGGGGGGGGGAGAUGACCCAGGCAUAUACAGAUCUGUUAAUCUGGCCUCAAUAGUAUACAAGGCUUUAGAAUAAAUUCUGAAGAAAAGAAUAGUAAAAGACAUGAAGGUAAUGGAUGUAAUGGGAUAAGAUGCAACAUGGAUUUAGCAAAGUUAGAAUAUGGCAGGCCAACCUGGUAUCUUUCUUUGGUGAGAUAAUGGAUUUUUUUUAGAGAAGGAAAAUGUGAUUGAUCUAAUCUAUCUGGACUUUAGUGAAGCAUUUGACAUAGUGCCAUAGGGGAAAAUAUUCAUUAAACAGGAGAAAAUGGGGAUCAGUACAAGAAUUAUAAGGUGGGUAAGGAACUGGCUAAAAGUGAAACUACAACAGUUGGUGUUGAAAGAACAACUAUCGGACUGAAGGGGGGUUGCUAGUGGAGUUCUUCAAGGUUCAGGCUUGGGACUGAUCUUAUUGAAUAUUUUAAUUAAUGACCUAGGCACAAAGUCCUACAAAAAGUGGGGGUGUACUAAUGGAAUUUGCUGAUGACAAAGGUGGGAGGCACUGUGAAUACAGAGGACGGGAAUAUUUUACAGGAAGAAUUGGAUGACCUUGAUGAUUGGAGUAAUAGAAAUAGAAUGAAAUUUAAUAGUACAAAGUGAAAGGUGUUGCGUGUAGGACUAAAAGAAUUUCUGCUCUAAACUAGGGGCUCACCUCUUGGAAAUGAGAGAGGAGAAGAAAGAGUUGGGUGUAUUAAUCAACCAGUGAGUAACUAUGAGCCACCAAUCUGAUGUGGCCAUGAAAAAGGCAAAUGCAAUCCUCAUAUAUCAGCCUCUUUCAUGGAUGAACCACAAGAUAGUUCCCAUCCUUUUGCAAACAGAACAUAAGAAUGGCCAUACUGGGUCAGACCAAAGGCCCGUCCAGCCCAGUAUCCUGUCUACCAACAGUGAGCAAUGUCAGGUGCCGCAAAGGGAGUGACCCUAACAGGUAAUGAUCAAGUGAUCUCGCUCCUGCCAUCCAUCUCCACCCUCUGACAAACAGAGGCUAGGGACACCAUUCCUUACCCAUUCUGGCUAAUAGCGAUUAAUGGACUUAACCUCCAUUAACAAACUGCUGGGAGUAGUUAUAUAGGAUUUUUGAGUAACAGCAAGGACAGGAUCACAUUUGUUUUAUAAAACACAGAUGAUUAUCAAUUUCUAUUCUAUACUUCUUGCAUGUGGAGGCUUCUAUUUAGGAAAAUUAUUACAAUGUUCACAGUCUAUAUGAUCUUUACCUCUACCAUUACCUUUAUUCUGUGACUUUUUCUGAGCCUAUUUCUUUGCAACAAACUCUCUACCCUCUUUUACAAAUAGAUACAGAAAUAGAAUAUUCAGGGCAUUGUGAUAUGGUGUUGCUUGCCAUUCAGUCUGCACAAUGCUGGCGAUUGGCCCAGUCCCAUGUCUGCCAUGAAGAGUAACAGAAACAAUGAGCCUCAGUGCAAAUGUCCUAGCUUUCCCCGGAUAGCCCAAUUUCCAUAGGAUUUCCCCAUUGACCUUGGAAUAGCUGCAGGAAUGGAGGGGUCAUGCACCCUGUCAAGUAGGCAGGGUGGUAAAGCCACUUCUACUUGCUAAAAGUAACCUUUGGUUGAAAGUGCAUACCCUCAAGGUUACAGAGUUUUUUUUUACUUACCCUCAGCCUUCAGGCAGCUUUUUUUCACAGAAGGGUAUCCUAGAAGUGUAGGACUGGAAGAGAGCUCAAUAGGUCAUCUAGUCCAGUGCCCUGCACUCAAGGCAGGACUAAGUAAUAAC